UUUCCGUAGGUGAACCUGCGGAAGGAUCAUUAUUGAAUUUUAAUGAGGAGAUGGUUGUAGCUGGCCUCUGGGAUUUUUUUCUAUUAAUUGUUCCAAGGGCCUUUCGUGCACGCCUUCUCUUUCUUCCACACACACCUGUGCACUUGUGAGGCAGAUGCUGGGUUUGGAGUUCUUUAUUAAUUUAUUGGACUUCCUUCCUAACUCUGUCUACUUAAUUCACACACACUCUAUUUAAUUUAAACUGAAUGUAAUUGAUGUAACGCAUCUAAUACUAAGUUUCAACAACGGAUCUCUUGGCUCUCGCAUCGAUGAAGAACGCAGC
rnacentral:misc_RNA from 1 species